UACGCAUGCUUAGAGCGAGGGGGAGGCCCGUCCUUCCGGGCCUCGCGGUGGGCUAGUCUGCGAGCUCGGCCACCGCGCCCAACUUCUGAGGCUGCUGGGCGGAAACUGCCGCCGUGGGCCCAGAGCUGUGAGUUCGAGCCCUGGCGAGCCCGCCCGACCCCACCCUCCCCGCCGCAGGCCCCUCCGAGACGCCGUUUGGGAGCUCUUUCCUCCAUGUGCCUCCCGCCGCUUUGGGUCAGGGGCUGCAAGCUGCUUUCGCAGCCCCUGUGCUUGCUCCAUCACCGGUGAACCUGCAAAGCCCCCGGGUGGCCGCGGCGCCCUCAGGGCUGGAGGCAGAGCCGGCGCCGGAGCGAGCUGCGGAUCUCCAGGCAGGCCUUGCGGAGUUCAUCGCAGUCGGGGCCCAGCACGUCCUGCUCACACAUCCGCCUGUUGACCUGAGGACCACACCCAGCCUGUGCCUGGGGUUACAGCCCUCCGGGGCUCACCCUGCCCCAAGGGAGAGCUGCUGGCCUGGUGCAUUGCAAGGCCUAAAAUUUCAAGGGCUGCCGGGAGGGACAUCUCUGAGGCUCACAGAGCUCCAGAGGACUAACGGUGAAUUCUUCUGCUCUGGCCGGACAUGUCCCCACCCAGCAGGACAGGCUCCCACCCCGUAGGUCCUCUCUCAGCAGACCAGCUGCACCCCACCUGGUCCUCAGCCUAAUGGACUUCAGCCCCCUGACAGGCCUUGGAAAUACUCAAACCAACCAACCACAUCUGCCUGUGAGAACCAGGGGGCAUCUCAUUCUCUUGUCACUACAAAGCCAGCUUCCCCCUGGCCCUGCAGGUUCACCCUGCUCUGAGCACAAGCCCAGGUGGCCCCGCAUGGCGUGCAGCGUCCUCCUCCCCACCCAACUGCAGUACGUGUGAGUGAGAACUGCUAUGGAUGGCAUCUGUGCAGCGUCGGG